GAUUGCAGUGAUGACUAUAUAAAAAUUCAAGCUCAACAGACUGGAAUGCAGUUUUCUUUCUUUGAAAAGAAAGAGAAAGAGAUGUGUGUGUCGACAACCCAAAUUAUGAUCUGAGCUAUC